GGACAGGUGACCGAGCGGCUGAAGGUACCGGUUUGCUAAACCGGCGUAGGGUGCAAACUCUACCGCGGGUUCGAAUCCCGCCCUGUCCG
rnacentral:tRNA from 1 species